rnacentral:rRNA from 1 species
GCAAGGGGUGCGCCUCGGGAGGGGCCUGCGGGCUAUCAGCUUGUUGGUGGGGUAAUGGCUUACCAAGGCGAAGACGGCUAGGGGGCGUGAGAGCGCGACCCCCCACAAUGGAACUGAGACACGGUCCAUACUCCGGCGGGAGGCAGCAGUGAGGAAUAUUGCGCAAUGGGGGCAACCCUGACGCAGCAACGCCGCGUGGACGAUGAAGGCCUUCGGGUUGUAAAGUCCUUUUCUGAAGGAAGAUAGUGACGGUACUUCAGGAAUAAGUCCCGGCUAACUACGUGCCAGCAGCCGCGGUAAAACGUAGGGGGCGAGCGUUAUCCGGAUUUACUGGGCGUAAAGCGCACGUAGGCGGCAUCGUAAGUUGGACGUGAAAGCUCCCGGCUCAACUGGGAGAGGUCGUUCAAAACUGUGGUGCUUGAGGUUGAUAGAGGAGAGUGGAAUUCCCGGUGUAGUGGUGGAAUGCGUAGAUAUCGGGAGGAACACCAGUGGCGAAGGCGGCUCUCUAGGUCACACCUGACGCUGAGGUGCGAAAGCGUGGGGAGCGAACGGGAUUAGAUACCCCGGUAGUCCACGCUGUAAACGAUGGAUACUAGGUGUGGGAGGUUAUUUACCCCUUCUGUGCCGUAGCUAACGCGUUAAGUAUCCCGCCUGGGGACUACGGCCGCAAGGUUAAAACUCAAAGGAAUUGACGGGGGCCCGCACAAGCAGCGGAGCGUGUGGUUUAAUUCGAUGAUACGCGAAGAACCUUACCUGGGCUUGACAUGGUGGUAGUAGUGAAGCGAAAGCGGAACGACCCUUCGGGGAGCCAUCACAGGUGCUGCAUGGCUGUCGUCAGCUCGUGUCGUGAGAUGUUGGGUUAAGUCCCGCAACGAGCGCAACCCUCGUCGCUAGUUAUAUGUGUCUAGUGAGACUGCCGGUAUCAAACCGGACGCAAGGUGGGGAUGACGUCAAGUCAGCAUGGUCUUUAUGUCCAGGGCUACACACACGCUACAAUGGCCGGUACAAUGGGUUGCCAUACCGCAAGGUGGUGCUAAUCCUCAAAGCCGGUCUCAGUUCGGAUUGCAGUCUGCAACUCGACUGCAUGAAGGUGGAGUUGCUAGUAACCGCGCGUCAGCAAUCGUGCGGUGAAUGCGUUCCCGGGCCUUGUACACACCGCCCGUCACAUCAUGGGAGUCGGCAACACCUGAAGUCGGUGACCAAACCGAAAGGUAGGA